CUUUGUCAUUCUGGCAAAGCGGGGCUUGAUAUUUCUGAAAAGACUGAUUAAUUUGCAGUAGUAACUGCUUCUAAUCUCCGUGAUAGCAGCGGGGUGGGAGCUGGCACCCACGAGAGGCCGUGGCAGCGACGAGCAGGCUGGGCUGUGCGAGUUGACUUGUUGAUAAACGCAACCCUUGACUUUUUGUUCUCCUCCUUAAUCGCUUCCUUCAAAGAGUUAACUUCCCAAGCAGCCACAGAUCAGUUCUCUCUCGGUUGUUUUAAUUAUUCUUCUCCUCACGCACGGUGAAGGUCUCGUGUUUGGGAAAUGUCUCCUUUUAUUUUUUCUGUUUGUGUGUGUCCCCUUCCCUCGCCGCUCCGGUGAUGCUGGCAUCACGCCGGGUGAGCUGGCCGCGGUCGUGUCCUUUUUAGCCACUUUCCCCUUUUUUUUUGAGCACCCUCGGGGGUGACACGAGUGCUCCUCUGCGUGGGAUUUCAGCGAGGGAGAGGCUCUCGCGGGGGCCUCCACGUGCUCGCAGCUGAGCAAUUUCCUUUUGUCCCGCUGGCAGGUGACUCAAAGCAGGAGCGAGCAGCUGGCCGCGCCGUUAGCCGGUGGCUGCAGCCUCGGGAGAUGAGUUGUGGAAUUUCCAUCCAAGUCGGGAUUAGGCUCAGGAGAUGAUGGCAGCGGCACAAAGCACGCCGGGGGACCGCAGGAGAAGAGGAAAUCAUUCACGGCGACUCAUCCUGUGGUUGGGUGAUUCAGGGGGUCUGCCGGUGGUGGUCACAAAGGCACGUGGCUCAACUGCAUCGGCUUUUGUGUGCUGCGCAGGAUGCAAACGGUCUCCGAAAAUUAAUCCUGGCCUUUUGGAUUUUUGUCCGGUGAAUUAUUUCCAGAAAGGAGUUACUGUAUUUUCUGGAACGCAUAUUGUGAAAUUCUUUUCUUUACAGUGGGCGAGUUUUCAGCUGGUGAUUUAUCAACCAAGUAUUUUACAGGAUCAUAGUUAAAGGCUCUUUUUAAAGAAGAAAAAAAAAAUCCUGUGCAAUAGGGAAAGCAAAAGCAUCUCGGUUUCCAAAUGAUGGAGGAAUAACCGAAAGAGCUCGUUCUUGGAAUAGGAGCUCCAUUGGCACUCGGUGGUGAUUUCCUGUGCAUUUGCUGUGAGAAGCACUCGGUGAUGUGAGUAGGUGGUACUAAAGGGUUAUUACGAAACCAAUUUUCAACCAGACGUUUUGAGUCAUGGAUCGGGAAGAAGGCUAGCAGCUCCGGAGCUCUCUCUUUGUUCGAGCAGCGCUCCUGCGAGGCACAGGCAGGAUGCUCCCGGGACGGAGCGGGGACAGGUUUGGCACCGGGAUCUUGCCCUUCUUCUUCUUCUCCGUGCCGCCACGCGCUCGCGAUGGGUUACGGGGCUGGAGGCGCCGGGAGCAGCGGGCAAGGUGCACGGCGAGCGCUUCCCUGCCUGUGUUUUCUUUAUUCAGAAGGCGUCUGCGAGCGGCCGGGCAGGACUAGCACAGGAGAGGUGCUUCUGGUACCUGCUGCCUCUCGCCUGGGUCUUGUGCCAGCAAGGAGCCGACCUCACAUCACACCUGGGCUCGAUUUCGGAUGCUUCUCCUGGCAGUGCAGGGCCUGGUGCAAACAGAGGACUGCUCCAGCCUGGAAAUGCAGGUGAAUAUAUUCCCCAGCAAACUCCCAGCGCAACUCCUGCCUUGCAAAAAGUGCUGAUCCCACACGGGCUAUUAGGGAAAUCUGUAAGGAGUCUCUGAAGUGUGACACAGUGAUUAAUAGGACAGUCAGCAAGCGGCUGUGAUAGGAUGAUGAAUGGCAGAAUCAGCACGCCACUGUAACACUUGUAAUGCAAGUUUGUGGUGUGUUGCAGUACCUCAGACACCAUCCUGCUCCUUCCUUAGUUUAACCAUUCAGUGCUGUGCAUCAAUUUUGUUUUCUUUCUGUAUUACUAGCCUUGGAGAACUCCUUCAAUUACUUUUUUUCCCCCAAACAUAAGCUCUAAUAUAGGAUAUUACCCAUUUUACACCAAAAUACAGAGAUAAUGCAGCAGAAGUUGUGUGUUUCAAGCUUCACGUCAAAGGGUUUAGCAGUGCCCAUGCAGCAUGCGCUCCCUUCUGAAACAGGCAGUACUGAGCUGGCUCUGAAUAUUUUUAAAAGCACGUAAAUGCCCGGUUUUGUGUCUCUGUGCUGGAUUUUUGCCCUUGGGUGUGGAACUUGCUGUCUGGGCCGGAGUUAGGAAAUGCUCCCUACAUCUGCUGUGACAAAGCGUUGGGUGUAGGACGGCUCCGUCUCACCACAGUAGGAAUGGGACUUCCAACCGAGACUGGGGGAAAGCUUUGGGAAUUAUGAGGAUGGCAGGGCUGUGAUGUAAUUCCCAUUAUUCUGGGACUCAAACCACCCAGGAUAGAUGGAGGCACUUCCGAGGCACCUUGUGUGUAAUGCCUUAGGCCAGCAUCUGGGCACUUACGGUGGCAGCAAACACGGGGAUGCUCAGAGUAGCUCUGAGAGGGCUUCUCAGGGCACCAGGAGCAGCAGGACCAUUGUCAAAGUGGUGCUUGUGUGUUGGAUCUGUGCUGCUGCCAUUUUCUGGGGUGGACGAAGUGUGAGGCUGAAGGCCAAGGUGAUGGAAAACGUGGCUCAUCUUUCUCGGCAGGAGCCCCAGGGGCCAGACUGCUGCUGCCUUGCCAUGUUCUCGAAAGAGUUCUGGGGUUGGCGUGGAUUCUGGUGGGUUUUGGGAUCUUUCAGGGGACGUGCAGGCUGUUUGUUGCUAGUCCAGGGGAGAAUCACCCCAGAUGGGACACCUCUGAUCACCAGCAGCAGGUAACACCAAGCUCUAAGAUAUGCUUGCAGUCACCCAAGCAGCUACCAAAUAAAUGGUUUUAUCACUCCGGGCACCUACAUUCUGCCAAAAUUUAGGCAGAAUAAAACAAAAAUCCAUCACUUGCCCACUGUUUUCUGUUUGUCUGCAGUCUGCUGACCCUUUAAACACCUAUCCCCGAAAUGUGAGCUUGGGAAAGAGGUGGCCCAGUGACCAGCCACGUGCCCACAGCCCUCCAGCCUGGUGCCCAGGGGUGCUCACCGUGCACGCAGCCGUGUCAUGCUGUUUGUUGCUCAGUCACCAACCCAGCAGAGAGACCGUGGGCUUCUGAAGCUCUAACCCUGAGUAUUGUGCACCAGUACAAAUUUUUGGCUUGCUGUUGGUAGCAACCUAACUCAAUUUUCCCAUUAAAGAGGGCUCAAUAUAGCCUCCUAAUGUUAUCAUGGCUCAGCUGCUUUCCCUUCUUUGCUAAUUGCGUGCCUUUCCCUGUUUUCUCUCCGUGCUGGAAGGAAGCUGCUGGAACAGUCGGCAUUGCAGAGAGGCAGGGCGUGCCUUCGAGGGGUGCUGCUCCCACCUUCAUACCGGUGCUGAUCUCCCGAGAAUGCUUUCCAUAUGCCAAAGGAAGAACACGAUGUUGGAGGGAAAGCCUAUUUAUAAAUGUGUACCGACUGCAAGGUAAAUAACUCCUGUUUCCAGUAAAUUAAUGGAAUAUGCUCUCUGCACUGGAUGUGUUCCCUGCUGAGAAGUAGCUGGGGUAAAUAUAUCUGGCAUGUAUUGUGUUUGUUGCUCUGCAGCACGGUACGUAGGAAGCAGGUAUUUUUAAAAAUCGUUUUCUCAUUCUUUGCUUCUUAAAUACAACAGAAGAAGGGUUCAAAGGUGGUUUGUUUUGCUCUGAAAAUAUUUCUGGAUUGGCAUUCGUGUUUUUGCAGUGUCAUCCCUGAUGGGAGGGGUCAAGAAUACUUAAAUCUUCUGCUAAAAGAUUCUCUGCAGUCUGUUUAUCAGGCCUGGGAAUUGAGCUGGGAUUAAAAACAAUCACACUUGGAUCUGAUUAAAUUUCCUAUCCCUUUCAUUUGCUGUCUUCUCUUCUGUGUGGUAAUUCUAUUUUACUUGCUCUUCAGUAAUCAGAGUCUUUCAAAGUAAUCAUAAUUGGAGUUUGUACUGUACCAGAAAAAACACAGAGGAAUAAACAUUUUUAUGCAUGUUUAUUGUUACUUUUAAAUGAUACCUAAGGGCAGUUCUUUCCAGGUCACAUUUCAUCCUCAGACAGACAAAUUAGCAUGAUAAUUUAUGUACCAGUGUGAACGAAGCACUGAAGAUAAGCAGAGGGGCAAAAAAGUUACAAAUGCCUGGUUUGAAGAGCUGACUGUGGAGACGUGAGUGGAUGCAAUGCACGGCACAAGAACACAAACAGUAGGUGUAGUUUCUGAGGGCUUCAUGACGGGGGCAUUUCUGCUGAGCGCUGGGAUUAGCACUUCUAUUGAAACUUAUGUAACAGAGCCUUUGCCGGGGUGGUUUCUAAAAAUGAUGUUCGUUGCUCUUCAGAUUCCAGAGGCUUUAAGUCAGAGGAAAUACUUUAAGCUGAAGAACGGCUUUGUUUUUUUUUCCAUUGAUCAUUGGUUUCCUCCCAGUUCCCAAUUAGAUCCUACUGCAUGUGUAAGACAGCAGUGGAAAUUAAAAAAAAAAAAAAAAAAAGUGGGGGUUAUAAUGAAAAUACUUGAGCAAGAAGCACUGAAUUUUGUUGUGAGUGGUUCCUUUGUUAUUAUACCUUUGUUCUAAGCAUACCUUAAAAAAAAAAAAAAGGAAUUAGAUUGAUUAUUGUGUAGUUGGUUGCACUGUACAAUUUCUAAAGCACAACAUCGGCCACUUUUGUCCAGAAGAGCAGUCAGCUGCUAUGGUGAUGGGCACAGGAUGGGAACAUGGACAGAAAUAGUGGUGAGGCUGAAGAUGGGCUGUUCAUCCUUCCUUACUGUUUCAGCAGCUCUUGCUGAAUUUGGUAUGACUGAAUUCAAGGCGAUAGCAGGCUAUCUUACUUUUUUUUGGUCUCAAAUUCUAGCAAAUACUACAAGAAAAUAGGCAAAAAAAAGGGUGACACACUGAAGCUGAUAAUAUUUGUAUAAACCUGCAUCUCAUUCCCUUCAGUGCAGCUUGUGCCUGUUGUGCUUGAAUUUGGGUGCACAGAAAUCUCCCUCCCCCUGUAAGAAUUAGUGGCUUUUUCAGUAAUUUUCAGUAAUGAAUAAUUCAUAUACUAAAGUCUUUGUCACAAGAACAUCUCACUGUUUCUCCCCCAGCUUGAUCAGCUUGCUUUUGUAUUUUUAGGAUUUCUGUUUCCCUAAUCAGCCCAAAAAUAAACCUGAAGAGGUUUCAAGAAACAGAAUUCAGAGUAAGUCUGAGACAACUGCACAUGGAGGAUAUUGCUUUGCACAGUAGGUGAUCCUCUGGCACUUUUCUAUUUGCAGCUCAUUCUUUUGCAGAGAAUUAUUUACCUGCAGUACGAGGCCACGCCACUGCCAUGCAUUCAGUGCCACAAAGUAGACCAAGUGGGAUACAUCUUACUUAGCUUCUAUUUUUCAAUAACUUCUGAAUCUGUAAUCCAAAAUGACUCCUUCGACAGGAAACACGCUAUCUGUAAUUUAGUGAUAAGGUUAGUGGUAAACUUUGGUUGCCUGUUUUAUUGAUUUGACUGUAAAAGCUCUCACUUAAGCUCAGACUGAGAAGCAGUAACUUGGCUAAAAGCCUGUCUAAGGGUCUGGAGGAAGAGAAGAAUGAUUUUGAGGUUGUCUUUUAAUUCACCUAUUUGAAGAGCAACACAAAGAGGGGACUAACUCAAACAGCUGCUGAUACUUUAUUUUUUCUUCCAGAUUCUGAGGACAUCCCUUUCUGUCAAUAGUGAGCUGUUCCAGAAAUAGAUGGAGAAAAUUGUACAUGGGGGAAGCUGUUUUUUUUCUGAGUUAUAGCACAUCUGUGUCCCUCCUUGGUACUUGGAGAUACCUUGCAGCAUUAGCCAUCAGAUCUUUCCUGUUUGAAGCUUUGAGAAGCUUCUGAAAUGAAAAAAAAAAAAAAGCAUAUUGUGUGUACAUAACAGGUAAAUCAGAUGUUUGAUUAGUGCGUAAUGCCAGUCUUUAUUCAAGGGCUGCUGGCUUAUUCCAGAGGAAUGUUCCCUGGUUCGCUUACUUGGUAGACCUUUUCAUUACAGCUAAACAAAGGACAGGAAGGAAAGCGAGGUAUGUAAAGUACUGUCAUCAGUACGGUAGGAAAUUUUAACAGUAAUGGUUUGUCAUGUUGUUAAUUUCCUUCCCCAUAUGACCUAAACGCUUCUUCUCACCUGUUUAUGUCAAGUCAGCGCAGACCUUCUGGCCAUACUAAAUUCCAGCUGUGGAGGCUUCAGUUGUUUCUUUCACACAGCUGAUUUUAAGAUAAUUAAAUUGCUCAGCAAAAAAAAAAAAAAAUGAAUGGAAAAAUUUAGGCAGCAGGCCAAAGCUGAAGGAUGGACCUUUUAUAAAGACUUAGUAAAACUUCAGUAACUCAGACACUUAAAGUUUGGUGUAUUGAUUUUUUUUCUCUGUAAGUUCAAGAACUGUGUUUCAUUGCAGGCUGAACUCUCAUCUCUGUUCCUCAUGACCAGCUGAGCAAGGGAGAUGGGAUUUGAUGCUAUCCAAGGUGUAAUUCCACAGUUCAUGUCUCUUGCUAGUGCCAGCUUAAUAAGUUUCUGCCUACCCCCAGCCAUUCAUUUCCAGCUCAGCAGCAGUGCAGUGCCUUCCCUUUCCUGACCAUGUGCAAACCCAGGUCCCUGAAAAUAUCUCAGCAAGGAAAAGAAACACUUCUUCUCUUCGAAUUAGAAUUAUUUGAGUGAUCUUGCUUACAGCGUGGCCCACCGACAGUUGUAUCUGUACAGCUAAAGGUGACGUGCACCUGCAGGAACUGCAGCAUCAGAGGCACAGCAAGCGCUGGAGGGUGUCCAAAUGUUAAGUGGUCUUGUUGUCAGUGAAAAUCUGCUCUGGGACUGUAUCCUGGUUGAAGGGGCUUCACUAGUCACGGUAAUAUUUAUUUGUCUUGCCUUUUCAUUUUUUUUUUCUUUAUUUUAUUUUAUUUAAAUUAGCAUCUUCUUGUUCGGACACUUUUUUUUUUUAAAUUUGUUUUUUUGAGGAGGUAAACCAUCCCUGAGAAGUAAAUCAGCUUUGCGGACAGCCAUGAAUGUCAAUAAAGUCUUGGCAAACACAGUAGGUAUUUAUUCAGCCUUGCAAAUUAAAAACAUUUUUCCUGCUUGUUUUGUGAAGGGAACAAAAAAAGACAAAUUACAUAGCGGAUGAGCUCUCUUGAUAGUUGGAAUUCAUUAGUCUGGUGGUGAAAACGCUGGGGGAUUGAUGGUGCAGAAAUAUAAAAGAUGAAACAGCUUUUCCCCAAUAGCAGUGGUUUAAGUUCAAGUUGAAAAUGACUGGGAAAAAAAAGACUUUAAACACAUCUGUAACUGACUUCGCAGUCCCAAUUACUA